rnacentral:tRNA from 1 species
GGAGAGGUGGCUCAAUGGUUAAGAGCACUGAGUGUUUUUCCAGAGAACCUGGGUUCAAUUCCCAGCAACCACA